AGUGAACGCUGGCGGCGUGCUUAACACAUGCAAGUCGAACGAGAACGGAAUAUAGCUUGCUAUAUUUGUCAGCUAAGUGGCGCACGGGUGAGUAAUGUAUAGAUAACCUGCCCUUAAGAAAGGAAUAACAGUUGGAAACGACUGCUAAUGCCCUAUAUGCCUUUAAUACAUAAGUAUGCAAGGUAAGCGCUUUAGUGCUUAAGGAUGGGUCUGUAUGGUAUCAGCUUGUUGGUGAGGUAAUGGUUCACCAAGGCUAUGACGCCUAACUGGUUUGAGAGGAUGAUCAGUCACACUGGAACUGAGACACGGUCCAGACUCCUACGGGAGGCAGCAGUGGGGAAUAUUGCACAAUGGACGAAAGUCUGAUGCAGCAACGCCGCGUGGAGGAUGACACAUUUCGGUGCGUAAACUCCUUUUAUAUAGGAAGAUAAUGACGGUACUAUAUGAAUAAGCACCGGCUAACUCCGUGCCAGCCGCCGCUGUAACAC
rnacentral:rRNA from 1 species